CCUAUCAUGGCGUAGUGGUAACGCGCCCCAACUAGAGAUCGGGGAGUCGUGAGUUCGAUUCUCACUGAGAAGA
rfam:Aedes aegypti strain Liverpool supercont1.127 genomic scaffold, whole genome shotgun sequence.